rnacentral:rRNA from 1 species
UACGUAGGGUGCGAGCGUUAAUCGGAAUUACUGGGCGUAAAGCGUGCGCAGGCGGUUUUGUAAGACAGGCGUGAAAUCCCCGGGCUCACCUGGGAAUGGCGCUUGUGACUGCAAAGCUGGAGUGCGGCAGAGGGGGAUGGAAUUCCGCGGUGUAGCAGUGAAAUGCGUAGAUAUGCGGAGGAACACCGAUGGCGAAGGCAAUCCCCUGGGCCUGCACUGACGCUCAUGCACGAAAGCGUGGGGAGCAAACAGG